ensembl:snoRNA
UGCAGCCUUGUCAAAUUCAGUGUUUCCUCCUCAGUGGAGCGCACUGGCCAAAAUGGCUGCAACAGUGAAUUUGUAGUCCAUGGGCCCCAUGUUCCUGUAUAGUGGGAGCUGGGGAUAGAAGGGCUAUGUACAAAU